rnacentral:lncRNA from 1 species
AAAAACUGUUGGGUUGGCCCAUUUAGUCUCUUUUAGAUCAGAAACCACUAGGGUUUCUUAUUCUCAAAUAAAGGGAGCAGCCUGGCCACCACCUCCUCCAAUAACCUCUGCACUCUCUAUAACCUACCACCACCACCUUCUUUUAUCGAUGCCGCAACAGCUCCGGCCGCACCAUUAGUAGUGCCACCAUGUUUUCCGGCUUCACCGCCAUUGCCAUUACCCUGCUCUUCUCCCUGUACAGCACGUCAAGGUGGAAAUAAGGGUACGUUUUCGAAUCUUUCUCCGCUUGUUGCUUUCGUUCACUUUCUUGAAGUACUUGUUGAUGUUCU